AGUCGUGGGGCAGCAGGGGCGUAGCAAUACGCUCGCUGGCGACCGGCAAACGGGUGCGGAACACGUACACAACCUUCCUUUAAGUGGGGAAUAGCCCGGGGAAACCCGGAUUAAUACCCCGUAAUAUAAUGAAGUGGCAUCGCUUUAUUAUUAUAGCUCCGGCGCUUGAAGAUGGGUGUGCGACUGAUUAGGCAGUUGGCGGGGUAACGGCCCACCAAACCUACGAUCAGUAACUGGUGUGAGAGCACGACCAGUCACACGGGCACUGAGACACGGGCCCGACUCCUACGGGAGGCAGCAGUAAGGAAUAUUGGUCAAUGGACGCAAGUCUGAACCAGCCAUGCCGCGUGGAGGAUGAAGGUCCUCUGGAUUGUAAACUUCUUUUAUCUGGGAAGAAAUCCACGAAUUCUUUUGUGGUUGACGGUACCAGAUGAAUAAGCACCGGCUAACUCCGUGCCAGCAGCCGCGGUAAUACGGAGGGUGCAAGCGUUAUCCGGAUUCACUGGGUUUAAAGGGUGCGUAGGUGGGUUGGUAAGUCAGUGGUGAAAUCUCCAGGCUUAACUUGGAAACUGCCAUUGAUACUAUCAAUCUUGAAUACCGUGGAGGUCAGCGGAAUAUGUCAUGUAGCGGUGAAAUGCUUAGAUAUGACAUAGAACACCAAUUGCGAAGGCAGCUGGCUACACGAAUAUUGACACUGAUGCACGAAAGCGUGGGGAUCAAACAGGAUUAGAUACCCUGGUAGUCCACGCCCUAAACGAUGGAUACUCGACAUACGCGAUAUACUGUGUGUGUCUGAGC
rnacentral:rRNA from 1 species